rnacentral:rRNA from 1 species
AUUGAACGCUGGCGGCAUGCUUUACACAUGCAAGUCGAACGGCAGCGCGGGGCAACCUGGCGGCGAGUGGCGAACGGGUGAGUAAUAUAUCGGAACGUACCCAGAAGUGGGGGAUAACGUAGCGAAAGUUACGCUAAUACCGCAUACGAUCUACGGAUGAAAGUAGGGGACCGCAAGGCCUUAUGCUUUUGGAGCGGCCGAUAUCUGAUUAGCUAGUUGGUGAGGUAAAGGCUCACCAAGGCGACGAUCAGUAGCUGGUCUGAGAGGACGACCAGCCACACUGGAACUGAGACACGGUCCAGACUCCUACGGGAGGCAGCAGUGGGGAAUUUUGGACAAUGGGCACAAGCCUGAUCCAGCAAUGCCGCGUGAGUGAAGAAGGCCUUCGGGUUGUAAAGCUCUUUUGUCAGGGAAGAAACGGUAGAGGCUAAUAUCCUUUGCUAAUGACGGUACCUGAAGAAUAAGCACCGGCUAACUACGUG